rnacentral:rRNA from 1 species
AUUGAACGCUGGCGGCAUGCUUUACACAUGCAAGUCGAACGGCAGCGCGGGCUUCGGCCUGGCGGCGAGUGGCGAACGGGUGAGUAAUGCAUCGGAACGUGCCCAGUAGUGGGGGGUAGCGCGGCGAAAUCCGGAUUAAUACCGCAUACGACCUGAGGGAUCAACCGGGGGACCGCACGGCCUCGCGCUGUUGGAGCGGCCGAUGUCGGAUUAGCUAGUCGGUGGGGUAAAGGCUUACCAAGGCGACGAUCCGUAACUGGUCUGAGAGGACGACUAGCCACACUGGGACUGAGACACGGCCCAGACUCCUACGGGAGGCAGCAGUGGGGAAUUUUGGACAAUGGGGGAGACCCUAAUCCAGCCAUGCCGCGGGCGGGAAGAAGGCCUUAGGGUUGUAAACCGAUUUUGUUCGGGAAGAAAUCCUCUGGGCUAAUACCCCAGGGGGAUGACGGUACCGGAAGAAUAAGCACCGGCUAACUACGUG